CAAGCACGGCGAGGAAAAUUAUAAUAUUCCCGUGGGAACGGCUGCCCGUCGGGGAGGAUGAUGCAAAAUUUAGGUUAUACACUGGUAACCAGGUUUAGGUCAAAUACUCGAGUCGGUACUACUAUAAAUACACUUAUCGAACGAUGUAAAGUUCUAGACAGAACGCUCCGGGCGAUUUGUCUUCGCGGUUAUGUAGAUACCCUACCGAAUAAUACGGGGUCCGAGUCUCGGUCGAAAUCAGAAAAUAAUAAUUAUUGUACCGUGGUUUGCGGUAACCCGAUUUUUGGAAAAUGACGAACCGCAAUCGCCU